UUUAAUUUACUCUCAGCGGAAUUGACCGGAGAAGGCAUCAGUUCAUGCACUGCACUGGCCUGCACCACGAUUAGUAUAAGGCGCAUUUCACGAAGCAGAACGCAGUCUUCAGAGAUAUCCACGUGAACGCUGUGAUACGUCUGACCUUCAGUCCGAAGCUGAAACUCAGACCAGUCUUAAAAGAAAGCACAAACCAAAUCCCCUGUACACAUAUACGGACUCAGAGGAUGAGCAGCCUACAAAAAAACGGUUUCCCCGGGCCCCUCGAGUGAAAAUACCAGCCCUCACCACUCCGCAGUCUGCCCCCCAGCCCACUGAUAGCAACCAUCAUAAUGCCCCACCCAGCUUCCGGCACCUUUCGCCACUCCGGCACAAACCGACACAGCUUUGCGAUCUCGCCAGCAUGCAGAGUCUGAUGUCUUCCCUAUAGAUGAUUCCAGAGACUCUGUGAGGCCACUAUUACAAGGUGAGACGCUUUGCGUUGAUUGGUGCUGCUGAACCACACUGGAGGUGCGAGUCCGCCGUGUAAUGGUUUAUGCCAUUACAAAGGAGCUGGCCUCUGUACUCAACUGGAC